AGGAUAAACGCUGGCGGCGUGCAUGAGACAUGCAAGUCGAACGGACACUUGGGGCUUGCUCCAAGUGUUAGUGGCGGACGGCUGAGUAACGCGUAGGUGACCUGCCCCGAAGUGGGGAAUAACUGCCCGAAAGGGUGGCUAAUACCGCAUGUGGUGGUGUGUUCAUUCACACCAGUAAAGCCGCAAGGCGCUUCGGGAGGGGCCUGCGUCCGAUUAGCUCGUUGGUGGGGUAACGGCUCACCAAGGCGACGAUCGGUAGGUGGUCUGAGAGGACGAUCACCCAGACUGGGACUGAGACACGGCCCAGACUCCUACGGGAGGCAGCAGUCGGGAAUUUUGCGCAAUGGACGAAAGUCUGACGCAGCAACGCCGCGUGAGGAUGAAGGCCUUCGGUUGUAACCUCUUUAUCAGGGAAGAUAAUGACGGUACCUGAUGAAUAAGUCACGGCUAACUACGUGCCAGCAGCCGC
rnacentral:rRNA from 1 species